AGCCCGACCUCGGAGCCUAAGCGUCCCUUAGUAACCUUCGCAAAAAGGAAGAGAGGGGUUCCCCUUUUGGCCCUGGACCAGUGACUUUGCUGUUUCUUCCUUGCAGAGACCUGGCUUUGGGCGAUGGGGGGAUAAGGGGAUUAGAGCAGUGGCUCUCAUAGGGUGGUCUGAGGGGCCCUGUGGAUCCGAAGAUCCUUUCAAAACUAGCUUCAUAGUAAUGGUUUCGUUUCCCUUUCUUACUCUCGCUGAAAUUUUCCAGAGAACUGAUGUGUGAUGACGUCAUCGCUCUCAUGACUAAAGGAAUGUGUGCUUGUAUUGUGUUUUCUAGAAUUUCCUAAGCCACUUCAGGUAGUGCCUUUCCUGACAUCAUUGCACAGAGAUGACCGUACAUAGGCCCUUCCUGUCUCUGCUUUGUUCUGUUUUGUGGGAGGACGCAGGAGAGCUUGUUACAGAGAUACUGCUAACACUUUCAGAAUGUUCCACAUUUGUUGAAAACUACAAACAAACAUAUCCAAGAAUCCCAGUGAAUGCCAAGCAGCAUAAACACAAAGAAACCACAUCAAGGCACUGCAGAAUCAAAUUUCUCAAAACUAGUGAUACAGAGAAAAUCUUAAAUUAAGACUAAUCACUGGUUUCUCAUCAAAAACAAUGCAAACCUGAAGAUGGUGGAACAACAUCUUUAAAGUAUUGGAAGAAUGCUUUCAACCCAGAAUUUUAUAUCCAGUGAAAAUGUCCUUCAAAGAUGAAGGCAAAAUAAAGACAUUUCAGUUUUCUGACAUCAGAAGUGGGAUCCAAAGAAGACCCUCAACAACUCUGAGGCCAGUGAGCAACCACGUGCUGGUACCCACUGGGCCCAUGGAGCUCACCACUUUCUUGCCAACCUUGCAGUCAGCCUGAAUGCUGCUCUCUUUGCAUGUUGAGCUCUCGGAAUUUAUUGUGCAUACCUGUAUUCUGUUUGUUGAAGCUUCUUGAAGAAGAAAGGAAAAAGAAGAAGGCAAAACCUAAAUGGAUAUAGAAGGAUGCAAAAGGUUUGUGGAAGAGAAAUUUUAUGUUGUGAGGUCACAGCUGGCUAAAAUUGAAUAGAUUUAUUUACAAGGAUUUUUAAAAUGAGCUCAGUAAUGUACUGAUACAAAACUAGAGUUUAAUUUUCUCUCUGUUAAAAUCACAAAAUUUCUUAGAUUAUUGGUCUGUUCUUAAUAAAAUAUUAUAAAAGGUUUGUCUUUACCUUUAAUGUAAUCUGCCUAGGAAACAAGGCUUCCGUGUCAUGGGAAAUAUUUCCUGUAUUCCACAUUGUCUUUAUCAGAUCUUUGAUUAAUUAGGAAAACUGAGUUUUUUCAAUUUUAAGAGCUAAGGUUUUUUACAACUAUAUAACUUUCUAUAUUUGCCUUUGAAAUCUUUCAGUUAUCACUUUGGUGAACAGAUAACUAAGUAUUAUGUCAUAGUGACUUACACUCCUAAUUGAUCAAGGGUUUCAAAUCUUUUGACAUUUUUGACAAACUUCCCCCAAUCAAAUUUUGAAUGAAGUCUUUUUGACCUCAAACUAACUUUGGAAUUUUCCAGAGGGCCCCUGGAAGUUCUGAAAACAUUUGCUUUUUCUCCUUAUAAAAGAGAAAUCUCA